AUGUGGUGGAGAGAAGCAGUAGGCAGACAAAGCCAUUUCCAUUCUCAACUCAGCUCCUCAUGCAACUGUGUCACUCUGGUGGAGCAAAGGCUCUGUCUAAAGUGCAUGCAAUCAGAGCUUGUGAGGCCGCGGGAUGCAAGGCUACAGAAAGAGAUGGUGUGGCCAUUUCUCAGUGAUCUGCGCACACCUGCCCUACUGGAGACACAGGAACAAGUACAUCACCUGCUGAAUUUCCAGACCCUUAUCAAAACAGUAAACACAGGGAGUUUUGUUUCCCUGCACGCAGCUUCCCUUACUGACAGGUCAUACUGGAAGAGGAGCUGUCUAACAUAGCUGUGGUCCAGAAAAGACCCUCAUGGGUAUUACUGUCCAUGUGAGUAGUAACACGGGCAUGCUUUGUGGUAAUGCAUUAGGGACCAAGUGGACGGUGCUCGGCACUUCACUUCAGUGCAUGUGCAGAAUGCACAAAGCCAGAAGGCAAGUCUGCAGAUGCCGGACUCCCCUUCAAGGUCAUGCUGUUUCUCAUUUAUUUUUUUGGUAUUUCCAUCUGAUAAACAAACCGAGUUUAAAUGCUUCCAAAUGCAUUUGUUUCUAUUCUAUUGACACACUCAUGAAGUCCAACUGAAAAACACAUGCUGGGCUAAUUCUUAUAAUUAAUAAAUGACUAUGAUCAUAUAUUUACA
rnacentral:lncRNA from 1 species